AUAUAUGAUUUUUAUGCCCCGUCUACGAUAGUAGUAGGGGCAUUAUGUUUUCUGGUCUGUGCGUCCGUUCGUCCGUCUGUUCGUUCGUCUGUUCGUUCGUCUGUUCGUUCGUCCGUUCGUCCGUCUGUCCCAUGUCAGGUUAAAGUUUUUGGUCGAGGUAGUUUAUGAUGAAGUUGAAGUCCAAUCAACUUGAAACUUAGUAUACAUGUGCCCUAUGAUAUGAUCUUUCUAAUUUAAAUGCCAAAUUAGAGUUUUGACCCCAAUUUUACGGUUCACUGAACAUAGAAAAUGAUAGUGCAAAUUUCAGGUUAAAGUUUUUGGCUUCAGGUUAAAGUUUUGGUCAAGGUAGUUUUUGAUGAAGUUGAAGUCCAAUCAACUUGAAACUUAGUAUACAUGUGCCCUAUGAUAUGAUCUUUCUAAUUUAAAUGCCAAAUUAGAGUUUUGACCCCAAUUUUACGGUUCACUGAACAUAGAAAAUGAUAGUGCAAAUUUCAGGUUAAAGUUUUUGGUCAAGGUAGUUUUUGAUGAAGUUGAAGUCCAAUCAACUUGAAACUUAGUAUUCAUGUGCCCUAUGAUAUGAUCUUUCUAAUUUAAAUGCCAAAUUAGAGUUUUGACCCC
rnacentral:lncRNA from 1 species